UCUUAAAGGGAAACGACUUGGAGCUCACGUAGGCAUACGAGAAUGAAACUUCUGUACAUUUUAAUCUGAAUAAUUCUUCAGGAUUUAAAAUUAAUUGGCUGUAGCUUGGUUGGACCGGACUCGGAUCUCGCCACCGCUGCGUUUCCCGAGUCACUGGCGGGGAGAGGUGAUCUUCUUUUUUUUUUUUUUUUUUUUUUUUUCCUCCCUGAACUGGGUUUAUGUGCGUCCCCCUCACCCCCUCCUCUCUUUUUCUUUCUCUGUCUCUGUCGUCUCUCUCGCUGGCUUUUUAAAAAUGAGGAACCGUUCCUUGAAUGUUCUGGACAGAGCACAGAAUUGCUUCUUAAGUCAGCCCGACGCGGUUGCAAUAGACAGCCAAAAGGUAAACGUUUGCCUGAAAUCCGCACGCCAGUUCCGCCACCCCGCCCGAUGGUCUCGUUUCCUCUGGGAUUGCUCCUGAGCGGGCUGUCUUCAUGCCAGGGGCGGGCAGUCGAAUCGCUGGCCUUCACGGGACCACUGGACAUCUGGCAGAAAACAGGAAGCCGUGACUUCACUCAGCCGGAAAACUACGAGAUAAAGAAAGAGGAAGGUUCACUGGAUUAUCUGAGGUCGGACUGCUGGGGUGAGAGUUGAACCCCAUCCUGGUUGACGACAGAGUUUACACUCUUAUCAUUCCUCAUGACGUGUGGAUAAUUUUAUUUUUUAAUGCUUAUUGAUUUAUCUUGAGAUAACAAGAGAGAGCGUGCACCCAUGUGUACGCGGAUAAGGAGUGGAGAGAGAGAAUCCCAAGCAGCCUCCCCACCGUCAGCACAGAGCCCUACGUGGGGCUCGAUCCCACGAACCGUGAAAUCAUGACCUGAGCUGAAAUCAAAAGUCGGGACGCUUAAUCGACUGAGCCACCCACGCAUCCUUUAUGCGGAUAAUUUUAAGUAAAAAACAAAUAUUAGCCACCCAACCCCCCCCCCCCCCCCGCAACAGACCCUGGAAAGAAGCCCCCAAACUCCAAACCCAAAACAAGCCAGCAUCAACACACACAAAUCUGACAAACUUUGCUCUUCUGGUAAUCACACUGAAAAGUACAUAGCAAAGCUUAGACCAAGAGAACGCGCCAAAGUUGAAAAAGCUCAUCUGCAACCAGCCAAUAACAUGCCAGAAUGUUCUUUGGCCCCCGACGUGGGGGGGGGGGUGUUGUUUCGCUGGUGCUCCAGACGCCCCUACGGUUUCUUUGGAGCCUCGUCUACACCUGCGACACUAAGGUUUGUGAAGUCACUCGAGUCUCAUGAAGGAUUUAGUUGCACCGCGUUGCCGUGAAUGCUUGGAUUUGGACGCAAGGCUCACGACUGCCUUCUGGAUUUUCCAUGGUAGGGUGAAAAAAAAAAUGCGCGACACACAUCACCAAGAAUCCAUGUCUGUGCCUGGCAGUGUAAUCGAAAAAAGCUUUGGAAUGCGAGUGGACGGCAUUAUGAAUAGCUUUCCUUAGCGCACCUGCAGAAAGGCACUACCUUUAGACACACCUUUGCCAAGCGCGUGUGCGUAAGGCACAGUGUUAGACGGAUGUGACAAAUGGGUGGGUGAUGCCUUUGUAGAAGAUUCUCCCAGGACUCUGAUGGGCUGAGGUUUAGAGAUGCCCGUACAUCCUCCGGGCGCUAAGAAGUUGACAGCCGGGGCCCGAUAUCAGCCCAUGAAAUAUUUUCAUCAUCAGGAUGAAGAAAAUUAUUUUGCACCGUUUCUGUUGUUCGGAAGUGGAAACAUUUUCGGGUGUGAAUCCCCCAAAGGACUUUCUGUGGCCUCCCUACCUCUUAUCCGGGAUUGUGCAGUAUGGAGUCAGAAACGCCAUGGGAAGAAGUCGUUGGGCUGCCUUCUCCAGGAGCUUUCCCUGGGCAGUCGUCUCUGCCCAUGUUACGGAAGACGGCAAAAAUCCGAGCCAUCAUGCAUCUGGCCAAUUAUGCAAUGCUCCGUUGCGAGGGGAAAUUUCUUCCUCACCCCAGCUGGUGAACAGUUAUGCCCUGGAGCCCAGGACGGCCAUGCCUUGUAACUUUUUAACCUAGUUAGCGUAACUGCCAAUAUUAUUCCUAUUCAUAUAAAUGUCUAAUCCUUUCUUGAAUCUUGCUAGACUAUUUGCCUCAAUAAUACCCUGCGGCAGUGAAUUCCACAGGUAGAUUAUAUGCUGUUUUAAGAAGUAUUUCCUUUUUUUUUUUCAUUUUAAAUUUGUUACCUUUUAACGUCACAGGAUGGCCUUGUUCUUGCAUGAAGGGGCCCGGGGUCCAGGCGUUUCAAGUUCUGCUUUAAUUUUUCCAAGCCCUUCGCCAUCAUUAGAACUCUGUCUUCGUCAGGUAUUUUCGGUUUUGGUGUAUCCGAUCUUGAUUAAACGAGAUGAUUGAUGUGCAUAGUCUCAUAUGGCUUUGGCACAUAGUAGGCACCGGAAAAAAGCUCUCCUUGGUAUUCAUUCCACUUACUGGACAGCUUUUUUUUUUUUUUUGAGUACCUACUGCGUGCAGGAAUCAUUGUAAGUACUGGAGAGACAGCGUUGAAUGAGACAGGGUCCUUGUUGGAAGGACCCAAUUUCCUAGAGAAGAUGAGCAGCGACGUAGUGAACGAAGAUGAACGACAGGGUCUCCAGUCGUCGUAAGUACUAUGGGAAAAUUAGAGAAGAGUGGUUGGCAGAGGAUGGAAGGGGCCCCAUGAGAUUGCACCGUCAGGGAGUAACUCACUGAAAAGGGGCCGGUUGAGCUGGCCCUCAAGGAAGCAUCGGUGUGAAAUCUCCAUGAAGGUGAACCCAUGCUCCCAGACAAUGCCUGGCAGGAGGUGCCGUCUGUCUGGCGUGUCGCAGGGCCAUGGCCCCGGUGUGCCCAACGCCCAGCAUCUCCGUCGGAUACAGUUUUGACAUCUUCGCGGUGAGGCCUCGUUCACACCCGCGGACUUUCAGGCGGGAUAUGUUGCUCAGCUGCCCACCUUUGUCUGGGUCUAUAUUAAUCUGGAGAAAUGCAUUGACCAUCAGUGUUAAGGCACAUCUCUCACUGGUGACUAAGAAAAUAAUCAAUCCUAUAGCAAGUACCAACUGGAGACACGAGACACAAAGAUGGCGACAUUGACUCUGCUCUCAAGGAACUCCUGGAAGGAGACAGAAGAAGAAUCAACACGGAGAGUUGUAUACCACGGAGCAAAUGAAACAGCCCCCCAUUACUGAGCGCUAACAGGGUGAGUCUCUCUAGCUGAAGACAUCUACUGAAGAGAGUCCAGCUAAUUACGUGCAAGGAUUAACUUCUCAAGGACCCAGAAAAAGUAAUCUCUACCCUCAUCGUGGGACUCGAACUCAUGACCCUGAGAUCAAGAGUAGCAUGCUCUGCCGACUGAGCCAGCCAGGUGCCCUCCUCCAAUCUUGUGUCUUAAGGAUGAAUUUUUCAUAACCUCUUUACUUGCGCCGACGUUCCAUUUGUGUUGGGAAUAAUUCUUGGAGCCCUUUCGAAAUCCUUAAAACGGGACGGUCAAAGCGUGGCAAGGCCGUACGAACCUUGGACGUGAAAAGACCCCAGACUGAGUUUCAAUGUGGCCAGACUAGGUGUUGGAUCUCCGACACGUCAGUGACACUUGUAAGCCUCAACUUUCCCCUACGGAAGAUGAGAACGACAGUUCCUACCUCAUGGAAAUUGCGUGUACUAACGUAGCUGACGUAUUGAAGACAUUAAUGUAGAACUUGCUGGAUCACAGCUCAUGGGGGACAGAAGUAGAAAGUGGGAGAGAAGGCCCGGUGGCUUUGCGACCCCUCUCUAUCAUCGCCACCCUGUCCCUUCUGCCCGUUUUUAUCAACAGUGCUGUAAACAUGGGCAUCAGACGGAUUCUCGCGUGUUCUCCUUGUUUCUGCCUGACACACUCCCCGUGCAUCUUGUCAGAGACCACUCUAAAUCUGGAACCUCAGAACCUGAAGAAAUGAAGUCUUCCCUCAAAAAGUGCGGCUUCAACAGAGGAAGUCACUCUUGGCGUUCCAUUUGGUGAAGUGCCAUCCUGAUGCAAUGCACGACACUCUGGAGGCUGCACAUAGUGGAUCCCGCCUCCGAAGGGCCCAGCCCGCCCCGGGAUUAGUCACUUGGCUAUCUCGCUGGGCAGCUAGUAAUUCAGAGAUAAUCAUGUUACCCAAGAUGCCAUUUAAUCUGUAUUUGGCAUAUCUCGAGUUUUCAUCUUCAUUAAUAGAGCCAUCAAAGUUUUCAUUGGGCCUGACUGGUAUUGGGAGCACUAGUGAUUCACCCAGGGGGGGCGGGGGGUUGCAGUUUGCAUGGAGAAACUCUGCUUGCCAGAUGGCUGCUGUUAAUCUGCUUGCAUCAGGAGUGUGUGUGUGUGUGUGUGUGUGCGUGCCUGCGUGGAGGGGGAGGCUAAGCUCUCCUGGUCCCCAGCCAGUAGGACUGUCCCUCACCUCUGAUUACACAUCGCUGCCGGCCAAGCCUAGGAAACCUGGUCCCUUGCGGCAGGGUGGGCUCGCCACUCCCUCCUGACUUGAAGGGAGCUUGAGGGAGUGGGUGCCAGACAAAGGGAAGGCCUUGCUGCCUCCAGCCUAGGCCAUCCAAUCAAACGAUUCCUGUGGAAGGCAGUAUAGUACAAUGGAAGGGUGCUAACCUGGGAGUCAGAGAAACUUGGCUUUAAACCCUGACUCUAUACUUAACUGGCGACGUGAAGUUACACACAUCGCGUAACCUCUUGGAGCCUCAGACUCUCCCCUUUACAUGAUAUGAACCUGAUGGCGUCACCCUGGUAGGUUUCCCACAAAGGAGUCACAACCGGGGAGCCGGAUGGAGACCCAUCCUUUAGUCCCAUGACCUGACUGUCCCACGUCUGAGUGUAGAGCCCGGGGAAGCUCUGAUCAGGUCCCCGUGGGGAGGCUGGAUGAAGAGGCUCAUCGCAGUGUUGUUUGUGGUAAUGGGGGUGAUGGAAUCUCAGGGUUCAUCAGGGAGCAGGACAGAUAAUGGGAUGCCAAGGAGGCUUCUCACGCCACACCAUAGAACCGCGUGAAGUGAUAGAGAUGAAUCUUAAAGACCGUGCUGGGAAAGAGAGAAAGAAGGAAAGAAGGAGGAAGGGAAGAAAGAAAGAAAGGAAGAAAGAAAGAAAGAGGAAAGAAAGAG